UGCACAAUCACAGAAUGAUUGCAGGCAGGGUGGUCUGCAGGGCGAUGCUGGAGCAGUCUGUUUCUCCCAUAAGCCUUAAAAACAGCAGUGUCAAACACCAAUGAGAGCUAGGAUUAGUGAAAGAGCAGCUGCUUAACAUCAGAGCUGCCCAGUAUCCUGCCCAAAUCUCCAGCUCAGUCCAAGCCCUACCAGGACCAGAACAGACCCCACCACUCUUUGAAACCCAGCAGGAGGAGAGAGGAAAACAUCACUAGCAAGGCUCUGGGGAAACAGCCACUUGAAUUCCAGCUCAGCUGUAAAUGAAUUGCCUCCAGCUAAAACCACCCUGCAAUAUGCUCCAGCUGCAAGCCUGUGCAAGGGUAAUGAGAAGAGGGUGCGACUUGUGCUAGCUUGCAUUGAUCUGGCCUCAUGCAGGCAAACCAGAAGCACAUGAUAGGAAAAAAACUGCCUUUUUGCUGGG